AAACAUCUUAGCCCUUUACGGCUUAUUUUUUUUCCUAUAGACUCAAUGAGUUAACAGAUAUUAAAUUGUUUUGUAAAUUGUGGUUAAAAAAUUAUUUUGCCCAAUAGAGCCCCAGUGGGUCUCUGAUCUUAGAACUUGCGCUCUUCCCACCAGCUAACAUUGCCUCUUGUCAUAAAUUAUGGGACUCAGUUAUGGCAGAUGCUAUUAUACUCAUUAUAUAAAAAUAUAAGUUUUUUUCUCUAAACCAGCCUCUCGGGAGACUGGGGCAGGAGAACUGCUUGAACCCAGGAGGCAGAGAUUGCAGUGAGCCAAGAUCAUGCCACCGCACUCCAACCUGGGUGACAGAGCGAGACUCCGUCUUGAAAAAAAAAGAAAAGAAAAAGAAAGAAAGAAACAUCAGUGAGGCCAGCCUGGCUGGAGGCAGUAGGGAGCCAGGGAGCAAGCAGUAGAAAGUGAAAGUUGAGAAGAGAAAAGAAGAACUCAGAGAGUCUUCUAUGCCACCAUAAGAACUAGCGUUUCCCCCCUGGGGGAGAUAGCAGCCACUGGGAGAUUCCAAGGAGAGGAAUGACACCGGCUAAUACUUGAACAAGAUCACUACAUCUUGUCUUCUCUGUUGCUCCUGGACUGCAGGGGACAAGUGUGAAAGCAGGGAGACCAGCUGGGGAGCUACCACAACAGACGGAAGAACCAGAUCCAAUGAUAUGUGUAAGAAGAAUAAUUUCAGUGCAAUUGAAAGAACAGAUGCACAAUUGACUCUGUCAAGUGAUGGAAUGACCCGUCUCAAAUAAAGCCAAUGAGCAGAGUUGCUCUUCAAGCUGAAACUUCAGCCCAAAUCAACUUUUACUCUCAUAAUGAUGAAAAGGAAACUGGCAGCUGCUUGGGGCAUAACAACCAACACAUCCUUUGAUCUGAUCUUUUUCUGCAUCCUCACUUCUUUAUGACUCCUCCAUUACUUAGAGAUUGAAGGUAUUUUCAAAGUUGUUUUCUCUUUUGCUUUCCUUUUCCUUUUUUUUUUUUUUUUUUGUUGCCAUGCCAGUGAGGGUAGUAAAGCUACUUUCAUUGCCCUCAUUUUAUAGGUAAGAAUAAUGCUGGCUGAGAAGUGAGGUGUCAAAGUCCCUUGUAACACACCUGAUACACAGCAGAGUCAGGACUUGCUGAGCCACGGCAUUCUGACCCGAUUCUAGUGUUCCUUUUCCUAUUCCAUCUGCAUGGGUUCAGAGCCUCCUUGAGGAGCAGCCUUGGGGUAUAAAUGCCACGGUCAGGUAUAAAGCAAGGAGACAUCACAGGCCAGAUCCUGGGGCAUGGGGAGUGACUCCAUCCCACUAGGACAAGCAAGAGGACCAUGGGCAGGGUCUGGCUUGGGCAGGAGGCUUAGUGACCAUGCCUCAGGGACCCUGGCCAGUGAUGCCAAUCUGAGUGCCAGCCUGUUGUCAAACAGUCAUGGUUUUACAGUACAUUCCCAGCAUUGGGAAUUGGCCCCUAACUAAGAUCUGCUUGGCAUAGUGGAAAGAUCAUGAUUCCAGCCUAAGCUCAGCCACAGUGCAAGCUAGCUAAGCUUGUGCAGAUGCCCUCACCUCUCUAACCUCCCAUUCCCCAUCUACAGACCCCACAGCAGAUAGAAAAUUAAACAAGAGAAUGUGUGAGUGGCUGGAACCUUGAAGGACCUCAGACAAUGGCAUCUCUCACUACAUCAUGCAGUAGUUGUAUUUCCAGGCCCUGAAUUCCCAUUAAUUACUGCUCUGAAAGUGGGCUUGGGGACAAGGAAAAUGUCAGCACCUCCCCUACCUCACAGGUAUCACAGACCCUCAUAAGCACCACUUGGAUGUUUUCAGGGUGGCUUCCUGUCCCAUCUUUUAGAAAUCUUGCUUUGAAACAUCGUCAACUCUAGUUUUCUCCUUGUUGGGCUGUGAGGAAGAAUGUAAAGGAUUCGGUCAUUUCAGAUUGUGAAAUGGGCUCCUUCUUAAUCGGGUUUCUGUAAUCCCAUGGUCUGAGGAGAUUUUCUGGAGUCUGAUAAAUCUCCUCUUCAACUCACGUCAAUGCAAUAAGGAGGUUAGUCGAGUACUUACUAGGUAGUGAUGUCAAGGUGAUGAUGAGGGAAAUGCCAAAUAAUGUGGUCAAUGACAAGAAUUUUUAUUUAUUCAGCUACAAC
rnacentral:lncRNA from 1 species